CGAAGAACCUUACCUACUCUUGACAUCCAGAGAACUUAGCAGAGAUGCUUUGGUGCCUUCGGGAACUCUGAGACAGGUGCUGCAUGGCUGUCGUCAGCUCGUGUUGUGAAAUGUUGGGUUAAGUCCCGCAACGAGCGCAACCCUUAUCCUUUGUUGCCAGCGGUCAGGCCGGGAACUCAAAGGAGACUGCCAGUGAUAAACUGGAGGAAGGUGGGGAUGACGUCAAGUCAUCAUGGCCCUUACGAGUAGGGCUACACACGUGCUACAAUGGCGCAUACAAAGAGAAGCGACCUCGCGAGAGCAAGCGGACCUCAUAAAGUGCGUCGUAGUCCGGAUUGGAGUCUGCAACUCGACUCCAUGAAGUCGGAAUCGCUAGUAGU
rnacentral:rRNA from 1 species